UGGGUGGGGUAUUUAUAGGCCCCAACCCAAUUCAAAUUUGGAGCUCAAAACGAUCAAAUCCUGGAAUUUCGGGAUCAGGCGGUUGCACCUCCUGACUGGAGAGGUUGCACCGCCUGGCAGAGCUCGAAGACCGAGCUCAGGCGGUGCCUCCUCUCUGUCAGGGAGGUUGCACCGCCUAGUCUUGCUCGAAGACUGAGCCCCAGGCGGUGCCACCUCCUGGCUGGGGCGGUUGCACCUCCCAGUCUCGCUGGGAGACAUAGCCUGGGCGGUGCUACCUCCUGGCUGGGGCGGUGCCACCUCUUUCACUAUUUCAGCUCACUUGGUUUGGCUCCAAACUUGGCCCAAACCAG
rnacentral:lncRNA from 1 species